rnacentral:hammerhead_ribozyme from 1 species
AUCCAGCUAACAAGUCCCAAAUAGGACGAAACCCGCGUUUUGGAU